rnacentral:misc_RNA from 1 species
GAUGAAGAACGCAGCGAAAUGCGAUAAGUAAUGUGAAUUGCAGAAUUCAGUGAAUCAUCGAAUCUUUGAACGCACCUUGCGCUCCUUGGUAUUCCGAGGAGCAUGCCUGUUUGAGUGUCAUGAAUCUCUCAAACUCUUAGUUUCAUUACUGAGUGUUUGGAUUUGGAGGUCUAUGCUGGCGCAAGUCAGCUCCUCUUAAAUACAUUAGCUUGGGUCUUGCAUGUCUGGAUCCUUGGUGUGAUAAUUAUCUACGCCAUGAUGUCCCUUCAAGCCCUGCUUCUAAUCGUCUGAAUAAGACAAUUUAUUACUUGACAUCUGACCUCAAAUCAGGUAGGACUACCCGCUGAACUUAAGCAUAUCAAUAAGCGAGGA